GUGAAUGGGGGGUCCGCCCUAGUCUUGGGACCCUGGAUAGGUAGAUGGCUGAGCGGAGAUGACCUAGGUAAGGGGCAGAUCCGAGUGGGAAGUUGAGUUGACAGAUGCAGCAGAAUUGACAAAGCACAAGCAGAUUCCAGACAGACACUUGGGAAAUCUCAGGAAGGCUCAUGCUGUGACUGAGCAUGGCAAGUAGACCAGGCAGGCACACCUCUGAUGUGCAUCCCCCGUAGGGGGUCUGAAGCAGGAGGGAUCACAGUCAAGUCUGCUGGAUGGAAUGGGUGCUGUGUGCUGAAGGGUUCCAAGUAGGGACAGUGAGGAGGCAUGUACCAGGCCUCUGCGAUCGGCCCGUGCUGGGAGAGUAUUGGGAUCAACAGUUUGUACGCUCAGAAAAAGCAGGGAAGCCCUCGAAAUGCAAACAAAAGUGAGUCUGGCCAAGACACACCGACUGUGGAUUGUAAAUUGCUUCAUGUCUCAGAACUUUAUCUCCCUGAUCUGUAAAAUGGGGUAAUAACACCACGUUACUGACUGGCCUA